GAUGAACGCUGGCGGCGUGCCUAAUACAUGCCAGUCGAGCGAACGGACGAGAAGCUUGCUUCUCUGAUGUUAGCGGCGGACGGGUGAGUAACACGUGGAUAACCUACCUAUAAGACUGGGAUAACUUCGGGAAACCGGAGCUAAUACCGGAUAAUAUUUUGAACCGCAUGGUUCAAAAGUGAAAGACGGUCUUGCUGUCACUUAUAGAUGGAUCCGCGCUGCAUUAGCUAGUUGGUAAGGUAACGGGUUACCAAGGCAACGAUGCAUAGCCGACCUGAGAGGGUGAUCGGCCACACUGGAACGGAGACACGGUCCAGACUCCUACGGGAGGCAGCAGUAGGGAAUCUUCCGCAAUGGGCGAAAGCCUGACGGAGCAACGCCGCGUGAGUGAUGAAGGUCUUCGGAUCGUAAAACUCUGUUAUUAGGGAAGAACAUAUGUGUAAGUAACUGUGCACAUCUUGACGGUACCUAAUCAGAAAGCCCCGGCUAACUACGUG
rnacentral:rRNA from 1 species